AGAGCAUGCAGGGCCCGCGGAAGAAGCAGUCCCGGCUCCGGGGCGCCGCCGGCUGAGGGGGCACCUUGGCUGGGGUCCGGCGGGGCAGCCUGAGGAGAGGGCGCCGGCGGCGGCACCAACUGCAACAGCGAGGCCUCUUCUGGCUCGGGCGGUUACGCGGCUCCUUCGAGAGAAGGAUUCUUAAUUCUGCCAACAACCACAUGAGUUUGGAAGAAUACCCAGAACUACAGAAGGGAGCACAGCUUGGCUGACACCUUGAUUUCAGCCUGGUGAGAACCUGAGCAGAGAACCCAGCUGAGCCCAUGCCAGGACUUCUGACUUACAGAACUACGAGAUAAUAAAUAUGUUAUUUUAAGUCACUUCAUUUCUGGUAAUUCGUUUUUGCAUCAAAUGCAAAUGUUUUUGCAUGGAAUAAAGUGUGUAUUCAAAUACAGUCAUAUGGAUACCAAAACUUGAUGUAGUUU
rnacentral:lncRNA from 1 species